rnacentral:rRNA from 1 species
CGGCAACAGCUCAAAUUUGAAAUCUGGCCCUAGGCCCGAGUUGUAAUUUGUAGAGGAUGCUUCUGGUGACGUGCCUUCUGAGUUCCCUGGAACGGGACGCCAGAGAGGGUGAGAGCCCCGUACAGUCGUGCACCGAACCUCUGUGUAGCACCUUCGAC